UACCUACAAGGAGGGUGUCUCACCGAACGGUAGCUAAAACCUCACCAGAACCGCGCGGAAGUGAGGAGUCGCGGCCAAAGGCGCUCGCUGGAGCCUUCUCUCUGGGCCGGACCCCAGCCCAAGCGGCCGAACGGAGCCCCCCGCCCGGACUGCAGCUGCUGCAGCUGCCGCUGAAAUUCGCUGUGGCCGCUGCCUCUUCCCGCUUUAAUCUCAGACCUCCAGUCAUUGGGCAGCUCCUCAGAGGCAAGAAGUCAACACCAUGGCAACCCGACAAGCCUAUCAAAUCACCGGCUGGUGUGACAACAGCAACACUGCAGGCAGGAGUGGGCUGGGCGGAAGAGCAGAGUGGUCACUGCGCUCAGGUUCUGGAAGAGGAAGAGAAGGAAGGGACUGGAAGAGCUGCGGAAGACUUUCAAACUGAAAGGAAGCCCAAGUCCUAGAAAUUACAAACUAAAGAUGCCCUUUGCCCCAGCAGUCCAUGAAACCAGGUCCAAUAACCUCAGAACCAACAACAAAAGGGGCUUGCACAAAAGUAUGGGUUUUCUUUUUGCCAGUUCUGCCCUUUGCUUAAACAACAUUAAUGUAACAUUCUGUUCUGGAGUUCCAAAAGGAUAAAGGAAAAUGGUGCAUUUUAAAAUUUUGUCUUCUGCCAGUGCUGGAUUCUGCAAAAUAUGGCUUAACUUUAAGCUAUGCUGAUUGCUUUGGAAAUUACCUAAACUUUACCCGAAACUGUCUUUGCCUUGUUCUUUCAUAAAUUGUAUAUUUUGUGUGCUGUGUGUGUUCUAGAUCUUGAUUUCAGGAAGGGAAGAAACAGGAGACUAGAAAAUGUAUGUUUUCCUCUCAGGCCCACCUGGC